GUAAAAUAAAAAGACAAAGAAACAAAAGAAGAACAGAAUAGAAACAGAGAACAGACGAAAAAGAAAGGAAGGAAAGGGGAAAGAAAAAUAAAAGGGAAAACUAGGGAUUUGAAGCUUGAAGUUUAAUAGCUAACAAGGAACUCGAGGCGUCGGCACACAAAGGAAAGGAGAAGGUUAUUGAAGAAUAAUCGAGCAAAAUUCGGGUUGAAAAGGGGUUAGAGUCUCGGUUCAGCAUCCAGGACAAUCCCGACUCCGACAUAAAAAUUUUGGUGAUGUUUUCUUUCUUUAAGAGAAAGUGACAUGUACAUAAGAAUUAUAAUAGUUAUUUUGGUAUGUUAUAUAGUUUUGUUGUGAGUAAGAUAUUAUGUGUUUUGAUGAUUAUAUUAGUAAAAUGGUAGAAAUCCUUUAUGGCAUUGGUAUCAAAUUGAAAUGGCUUGAUUAGUUUUAUAUAUUAAUUAGAAAUGAUAAUAGGAUUUUUAUUAAUUAAGUUGUUAUGUCAAUAUGCCAAGUAAGAUUUAAGUAUAUAAAUGCCUUGGUUGAAAUACUGGAAUUGGGUUGGUUAUGUUUGAAGUUUUGCAGGGGGUUGUAUGUAAAAAUAAGUAGAAAUGUUGCCGAAAUUUUUAUAAAAAUGAAUGAAAUCAAUUAGUAA